GCCCUCAUUACUCCUUGACUUUAAUGUUGCAAACACCUACCUUCCUCCAGUGUUUUUUUUUUUUUCUUCCAAUCAUUACCCACUCAGCUGCCAAACAGAUAGUGUGUCACUGUGUGACAGUAUGUCACUCCCCUGAAUUUAAAUGGAACAUUUGAAAUGUUGAAACCUGUGGAACAUUUUUUUUAAACCAAAAAAUACAAUGAUGAAAAAAAUUGUAAUUGACUUAAUGGGCAGAGAUAGAAAUCUCAAGAAAAGUCUUGCUUGCCGUAGAAGGUUUAAGGAAUCAAUCUUGCCUUUGUUUGAUCUGGAUAAAUCUCCAAGGAAUAAGCAAAAUCAACUUUCUAUCAUUAUGGAUUGCUUGCUCCUCAGACUCCUGUCAUCUCCUGCACUGCCUUCAUAGUAAUGUAGAAAACUCUCAUGUCUGUAAACCUAACCCUAUUUUCCCAAUACAGUAAGCACUGAAAGGUUAUGGAAAGACUGGCACACUAAAUACCAGAUCAUACACUCUGCAGGAGCCACUGUGUUUUAUUUAUCUCUAUCUGUGUUUCUAUUCUUUUUUUUUCUAUUGGGAUAUAUGGGGUGUUUAGGGAGGACUGGCACCUCUGAAGUGAGGGCUUUCGGGGCUCUUAUCAGGGCUUUCCUCCGCUGUUGUCUACCUGCCACCCAACUCUACCUGUGGCUCCAAGAAGCUGCAGCACGCCCACUGGCCACACUCUGCUAACCCAUCCAAGAAGGUGGCCAAGCCACAUUGUGAUUAAACAAGGAGAUAGAUGUCCACUCCCAGCGUAUGAAUACUUCCUUCCAGCAGAGUGGCGAGAUGAGAGCACUUUGUUCCGGUGGCUUUGAAGGAAACCGGAAGUAAGCACUAUGGAGCACUUCGAGCUUGCUCAGACAUGGAAGAUGCCAGAUUAUCCCCUGCAUGCUGGGCCAUUGCCAGUCAUCCUGGCUUGUAUCUUCUCACUGGACCUCAGUGACUCCGGAAGAGGGGGGGAAAUAACAAGACAAAGUCAUCUUGGACUAUCAUUGAAUAAACCAAGAAAUCAACUGAGACUCUUGUCUAAGAUCAGAUAA
rnacentral:lncRNA from 1 species